UACGGAGGGUGCAAGCGUUUGUUCGGAAUUACUGGGCGUAAAGCGUGCGCAGGCGGUUGUGCAAGACAGAUGUGAAAUCCCCGGGCUUAACCUGGGAAUUGCAUUUGUGACUGCACGGCUAGAGUGUGUCAGAGGGGGGUAGAACUCCACGUGUGAGCAGUGAAAUGCGUAGAUAUGUGGAGGAAUACCGAUGGCGAAGGCAGCCCCCUGGGAUAACACUGACGCCUCAUGCACGAAAGCGUGGGGAGCAAACAGG
rnacentral:rRNA from 1 species